rnacentral:rRNA from 1 species
UAAAUCAAGCUUAAUAAAUCCUAAUACACCGGAUCCCAUCAGAACUCCACAGUUAAGCGUGACGAGAGUAGUAUUAGGAUGGGUUAUCUCUUGAAAAGUCAAAUUCGGAUCAC